rnacentral:rRNA from 1 species
UGCGCCUUGCCAGCCCGCUCAGAAACUUAAAGGAAUUGACGGGGCCCGCACAAGCGGAGGAACAUGUGGUUUAAUUCGAUGAUACGCGAGGAACCUUACCCGGGCUUGAAUUGCAGAGGAAUAUAGUUGAAAGAUUAUCGCCGCAAGGUCUCUGUGAAGGUGCUGCAUGGUUGUCGUCAGCUCGUGCCGUGAGGUGUCGGCUUAAGUGCCAUAACGAGCGCAACCCUUAUCAUUAGUUACUAACAGGUCAUGCUGAGGACUCUAGUGAGACUGCCGUCGUAAGAUGUGAGGAAGGUGGGGAUGACGUCAAAUCAGCACGGCCCUUACGUCCGGGGCUACACACGUGUUACAAUGGGGGGUACAGAGGGCAGCUACCGGGCGACCGGAUGCCAAUCCCAAAAACCUCUCUCAGUUCGGAUCGAAGUCUGCAACCCGACUUCGUGAAGCUGGAUUCGCUAGUAAUCGCGCAUCAGCCACGGCGCGGUGAAUACGUUCCCGGGCCUC